GUGUGCACAGCUUGGCUUCAUGUCCGUUGCAACGCAAGUGCACGGACUCUUGCAGAAGGGCUGUGUCGAGAUGAACUGCCACGUGCGGAAUUCUUUGGUUGACAUGAUUGCCAAGUGUGGCUGCAUCAGUGAAGCUCGUUCCUUGUUUGCCGAGGCACAUCCAAAGGAUGUCAUCUCUUACAAUGUGAUGGUCUGUGCUCUUGCGCAACAUGGACAUGGCAAAGAUGCCCUGAAGCUUUUUAACGAGAUGACUGCAGAGGAAGGGCUGCAGCCUGAUGCAGUCACAUUUCUCGGUGUCCUGUCAGCUUGUGCUCAUGCUGGGCUUGUGGACAAUGGUGAGCACUACUUUGAGUCCAUGGGAACUACGUAUGCAAUCCAGAAAUCUGCAGAUCACUAUGCUUGCAUGGUGGAUCUCUAUGGCCGAGCUGGGUUGAUUGAAGAAGCGCACCGCUUUGUGAAGAUAAUGCCAGUCAAGCCACAUGCAGGUGUAUGGGGAGCAUUGCUCAAUGCCUGCCGUAAGCAUUGCAAUAUUGAUGUAGGUGAUAUCGCUGCAAGAGAACUCAUCAGGAUAGAACCGUUGAAUCCUGGCAACUACGUUCUCCAUGCAAAUACACUAGCUCAAAGUCAGCGGUGGGAUGCUGUUGAGGACGUACGACGAUUAAUGAGAGGAAAUAUUAAUGAUAAGAAUACAGGAUUCAGCUGGGUUGAAGUGGACGCUGUUGUUCAUGAGUUCUUGGCGGGGGAUUUUAGCCAUCCCAGUUUUGAUCAAAUUUACAAUAUCCUGGAGCAUCUGUAUCUCCAACUGACUUGAGAUUGUUUACUGCUAAAUGUCAUUAGCGGCAGGACAUCACAUAUGUGUCCUGAAGUUUGUAUCCAGCUAACCAUGCACUUCAACAAGAAGAGGUGUAUGUGAAGGCGAAAGCUACACCUGAAGUGGAACCUCCAAGAGGUGCUGUCUCAACUCUCAAGGAUGGUUUGUUCCAUAAUGUUGGCAGAAAUAAUGCAACUUAAAAAUGUGCCAAACUAACCCACGCUGUACCAUACUUAGACAAAAUAUUAAGGAUAGGGCUUGCACUCUUUUGCUUCUUAGCUACUCUUGUGAUGAGGAGGUUUGACUUCGGAUUACUGGCUUUGCACAUAUCGACAUCUGCGCACCGAUUAGAUGGCAUAGAAAGCUGGUGGAUCUUGGCUGGAGUCAGGAUAAAUGCGUGAAAGUUUAACUGUAACUCAAAUUCAGCGAUAUGUUCAGAGUUUUGCUGGUCUGCCAUGGAAUAUUCCGAUGAGUCCAAGCGAUACAGGUAUUGUUGACUAUUGUGAGAAGGUUUACAUGUACCUGAAGUUUGGCAAGCUUGUUGCUAGGGUAUGUACUGACAGGUUUAAAUGCCUGUUUUACCCCGGGAAGAAGAAACAGGACUACCGCGCUGCAAAGGUGAAGGCAAAUCACCAGGACCUGGCUAAUCUUCUCAAGACUGAUCAUGCUGAUUCAGCAGGAUCAUUGUCCGCGCGAAAAGCCGAUGCACUGAUUAAUCCUCCUAAGCCCGUGCAAGAACAAGAACUGUUUAUUUGGCCUGGAUGGACAUCCUUGCCAAUGUUCCAGCUGAGCAAACAGAGAUAGGUGGAGCCACUCUAAUGCAGCAGCUAGCUGAUUUCAGACCACCGUGUUUUAAUGUUGCGCAUUGUAUCAAAGGGUACACUGGCUUUGCGGUCGUCCGUUUCGAGAAGGAUUGGAUUGGGUUUAAGGAUGCCUACAAAUCAGGUCAUUUGGGUGAAGUGGAUUGGAAUCAGGUAGAUCGACAUGGAAAGUACAUUUUUUGUUGGCUGACAAGAGACGAGGAUUAGAAUGCCAAUGAUCCAGUUUGUAGGUUCUUGUCAGAAAAUGGUGAGCUAAAGACAAUGUUUGGACUGCAACUUGAACGUCACAAACCAGAUUAGUGCUAAGAGCAUAUUUGCUGUAACUUGAGUGCAAGUGUAAUCAGAUGGAUCUUGGUUUUUAGAGGGCCAUAGAAGACGGUAACUGGCUGCACCAAGGCUACAAUGAAUGUACCCUCAUGGAGCUGCACUAAUGGAGAAGUCUCAUGCUGUAGCUGUA